AGAGUUUGAUCCUGGCUCAGGAUGAACGCUGGCGGCGUGCUUAAUACAUGCAAGUCGAACGAACAUUAAGAGUGCUUGCACUUUUAAUGUUAGUGGCGAACGGGUGAGUAAUACAUAGGCAACUUGCCCCAAGGACUGGGAUAACACUUAGAAAUGAGUGCUAAUACCGGAUAGGUAAUACAAAGGCAUCUUAGUAUUAUUAAAGUUGGGUAUCCAACACCAUGGGAUGGGCUUAUGCUGUAUUAGCUAGUUGGUGAGAUAAAAGCCCACCAAGGCGAUGAUACAUAGCUGGUCUGAGAGGAUGAACAGCCACAUUGGGACUGAGACACGGCCCAGACUCCUACGGGAGGCAGCAGUAAGGAAUUUUCGGCAAUGGAGGAAACUCUGACCGAGCAACGCCGCGUGAGUGAUGAAGGCCUUCGGGUUGUAAAGCUCUGUUGUAAAGGAAGAAUGUAUAGAAAAGGAAAUGUUUCUAUAGUGACGGUACUUUACUAGAAAGUCACGGCUUACUACGUGCCAGCAGCCGCGGUAAUACGUAGGUGGCAAGCGUUAUCCGGAUUUAUUGGGCGUAAAGGGUGCGCAGGCGGAUUGUUAAGUUCGAGGUGAAAGCGUUGGGCUCAACCCAAUACAGCCUUAAAUACUGGCAAUCUAGAGUGCAGAAGAGGGUAAUGGAAUUCCAUGUGUAGCGGUAAAAUGCGUAGAUAUAUGGAGGAACACCAGCGGCGAAGGCGGUUACCUGGUCUGUAACUGACGCUCAGGCACGAAAGCGUGGGGAGCAAAUAGGAUUAGAUACCCUAGUAGUCCACGCCGU
rnacentral:rRNA from 1 species